rnacentral:rRNA from 1 species
CAGUCGCCGCGGUAAAACGAAGGGUGCAAGCGUUAAUCGGAAUUACUGGGCGUAAAGCGUGCGUAGGCGGUUUGUUAAGUCUGUUGUGAAAGCCCUGGGCUCAACCUGGGAAUUGCAGUGGAUACUGGACCACUAGAGUGUGGUAGAGGAUAGUGGAAUUUCCGGUGUAGCGGUGAAAUGCGUAGAGAUCGGAAGGAACAUCUGUGGCGAAGGCGACUAUCUGGGCCAACACUGACACUGAGGCACGAAAGCGUGGGGAGCAAACAGGAUUAGAUACCCGUGUAGUCCCUGUCUCUUAUAC